AAAAAAAAAGAAAAUGAAUAACGAAAAGACAGCCGUCCAAAAAAACAAAAAACAAAAAGAGAAAAAUAAAUGUUGUCUUCUAUCUCCAAAUUCGGAUCUGCUAUCGAUUUGUUUGAGGUGAAUGAAAUCUAGCUUUUGCUUAACAACAAUUCCUGCUUGGAUGGCAAUCGAAGAACUUUCUUUAUCAUAAGAUGGGACUUAUAAAGUUUACGCACAACGACUUCGAUUUCGUCGAUAUAGAAGACAGUGAAAUUCUAAUCAUGAUAUAUUUUAGAUAAGUACAUAUAAUCAAUUGAAGUUUCUUAUUGAAUAAAACAUUAGAUUUUAUAGUUUAUAUCUGAAUCUGACAUUAUUCUUUAACGCAGAUAUAACUUGAAGAUUAAUCAUUUCAAAACUCUCUGCUUUGAACUACGUCGGCUACGCUUAAUAAAAAAAACCUCCAUACUAUCGAUUCAUCUUCUGAGGUUUCGGAGUCAUGACAAUCACUACUGCUGGUGCAUUGUGUUCUUUCCAGUUGUUUGAAGGUGAUCGCAUAUAUUGUUUCCGCUUGCAAGAUGAUUUCUUUGCUGAUUAGGUUUCCACUGCCUAGCAAGCUUCUUAACAAAUCGUAAAGAAGUGUUCCGCCUUGUAAUCGACAAACCUUGUUUUACUCCUCCUAUUACUCACGUUUAUUGAAAUACAUUUGAAAUGGGUUAAUCAUUCAGAUAUAAGAUAAUUGAAUACUACCAAA